rnacentral:rRNA from 1 species
GAUGAACGCUAGCUACAGGCUUAACACAUGCAAGUCGAGGGGAAACGACAUCGAAAGCUUGCUUUUGAUGGGCGUCGACCGGCGCACGGGUGGGUAACGCGUAUCCAACCUGCCCACCACUUGGGGAUAACCUUGCGAAAGUAAGACUAAUACCCAAUGACGUCUCUAGAAGACAUCUGAAAGAGAUUAAAGAUUUAUCGGUGAUGGAUGGGGAUGCGUCUGAUUAGCUUGUUGGCGGGGUAACGGCCCACCAAGGCGACGAUCAGUAGGGGAUCUAAGAAGAAGGUCCCCCACAUUGGAACUGAGACACGGUCCAAACUCCUACGGGAGGCAGCAGUGAGGAAUAUUGGUCAAUGGGCGAGAGCCUGAACCAGUCAAGUAGCGUGCAGGAUGACGGCCCUAUGGGUUGUAAACUGCUUUUAUAAGGGAAUAAAGUGAGUCUCGUGAGACUUUUUGCAUGUACCUUAUGAAUAAGGACCGGCUAAUUCCGUGCCAGCCGCCGCAGUAA